AAAAAUCCAUUUGAAAACUUCUUUGAUCUUGAAAAGUCAAGUUGAAAGUGGACCAAAAACUUGCCAAAUUAGGAAACUUUGAAUUAUAGGUCACUUUCCAUUUUUGGUAACUUUUGCCAUGACCUUUGAAUCUUCAAGAUGAAUGUUAAAAAUGAUGAAUGAACCUCUUUUGAACAUGAUUGAGGUGUCUCAACUCAUUUCCCCACC
rnacentral:lncRNA from 1 species